rfam:Candidatus Pacebacteria bacterium RIFCSPHIGHO2_01_FTLL_46_16 rifcsphigho2_01_scaffold_293, whole genome shotgun sequence.
GCGCCAAUAGCUCAGGUGGAUAGAGCAACUGCCUUCUAAGCAGUAGGUCGCAGGUUCGAGUCCUGCUUGGCGCA